rnacentral:rRNA from 1 species
UACGUAGGGGGCUAGCGUUGUCCGGAUUUAUUGGGCGUAAAGAGCGUGUAGGCGGCCAGGUAGGUCUGCUGUGAAAACUCGAGGCUUAACCUCGAGCUGUCGGCGGAAACCAUCUGGCUAGAGUCCGGAAGAGGAGAAUGGAAUUCCUGGUGUAGCGGUGAAAUGCGCAGAUAUCAGGAAGAACACCCGUGGCGUAAGGC